rnacentral:lncRNA from 1 species
GCGAACCUGGCGUCCCCACCUGACUCCAGAAUCAGAUUCAGGCCAGGCCAGGAACCACCCCAGCUUCCUGCAUCCGCCUUGGUCCAGGCAGCAAUGCGGAAGGCGGACGCCAGGGGGUCGGAGGCUCAAGGGCGGGGAUCGAGACCCAAGGCCUGGCGCGCCCACCAAGAUGUGGCUCUGCACUAAGGUUCCGGAACAGCCGGCCCUGAACACCCACGUGCAGCUUCCGAUCGCAGCCCUGGCCUGGCUCCUCGGUCCCCGGUUGAGAGACCCGCGACCGCUGCAGGGUGCCUCGCCGAGGGUGGGGGCUCGAGGCGCACAGUGCUCCCAGCCUCUCCCACCCCAACCCCGCCAUUAAGGGAAGCCCCAGCGACGCCCUGAACCCUGAAAGUCACACUGGGGCCGGGGCUGCACUUGGCGUCCGCUUCCCCUCCCGUCACAGUGACCAGGGCUAGGACCGGGGUCCGGGCCGUCGGGGAGAGCGGAGGGCGCGUGGGAAUGGGGCUCGCUGCGCCAGGGAAAACCCACGCCGUCCUUCGAGUCCUCCCAGCUGUUCCGCAGAGCCGGGGCCGCUGCCAUCGCGUCUGCCCCGAGGGUGCGCAGGGACCUAAGUCUUGGCGUCCACGCCCCUGUCGCAGAGACGCACCUUGAAGCCGUCGUCUGACGCGAUGAUGAGCACCUCGAAGGGCU